rnacentral:rRNA from 1 species
CACACCUACGGGACGCAGCAGUGAGGAAUAUUGGUCAAUGGGCUUACGCCUGAACCAGCCAAGUCGCGUGAGGGAAGAAGGCGCCAGGCGUCGUAAACUUCUUUUGUCGGGGAACAAAGGGCGCCACGCGUGGCGUUGUGAGUGUACCCGAAGAAAAAGCAUCGGCUAACUCCGUGCCAGCAGCCGCGGUAAUACGGAGGAUGCGAGCGUUAUCCGGAUUUAUUGGGUUUAAAGGGUGCGUAGGCGGUCCGGAAAGUCAGCGGUAAAAGCCCGGGGCUCAACCCCGGCGAGCCGUUGAAACUGUC